UUCGCUUCUCGGCUUUUUGGCUAAGAUCAAGUGUAUUGUCUGUUCUUAUCAGUUUGGUAUCUGAUGCAUCCUCUAUCCGAGAACAGCAUAUUGAAUGGAUUUUUAGAGCAGGGAGGUGGAGUGGGAGCUUGCUUGGUCCACUCCACGCAUCCAAAUGGUAUUGUAGUGCCUCCAGGAAUCAUUUUCC